CAUGCAAGUCGAGCGCUCACUUCGGUGAGAGCGGCAGACGGGUGAGUAACGCGUGGGAAUCUACCUAGUACUACGGAAUAACAGUUGGAAACGACUGCUAAUACCGUAUACGCCCUUCGGGGGAAAGACUUAUCGGUAUUAGAUGAGCCCGCGUUGGAUUAGUUAGUUGGUGGGGUAACGGCCUACCAAGGCGACGAUCUAUAGCUGGUCUGAGAGGAUGAUCAGCCACACUGGGACUGAGACACGGCCCAGACUCCUACGGGAGGCAGCAGUGGGGAAUAUUGGACAAUGGGCGCAAGCCUGAUCCAGCCAUGCCGCGUGAGUGAUGAAGGCCCUAGGGUUGUAAAGCUCUUUCGCAGGUGAAGAUAAUGACGGUAACCUGUAAAGAAGCCCCGGCUAACUUCGUGCCAGCAGCCGCGGUAAUACGAAGGGGGCUAGCAUUGUUCGGAAUUACUGGGCGUAAAGCGCACGUAGGCGGAUUGGUCAGUUAGGGGUGAAAUCCCGGAGCUCAACUCCGGAACUGCCUUUAAUACUGCCAGUCUUGAGUCCGAGAGAGGUAAAUGGAACUCCUAGUGUAGAGGUGGAAUUCGUAGAUAUUAG
rnacentral:rRNA from 1 species